CGAGGCGAACCGGGGAAACUGAAACAUCUCAGUACCCCGAGGAAAAGAAAUCAACCGAGAUUCCCCCAGUAGCGGCGAGCGAACGGGGUGCAGCCCAGAGUCAACAUCAAUAUUUACCACAGGAGAAGGGUCUGGAAAGGCCGGCAAUAAAGGGUGAUAGCCCCGUAUCUAAAGCGGUAAGUGUUGUGAACUCGAAGAGUAGGGCGGGACACGUGUUAUCCUGUCUGAAUAUGGGGGGACCAUCCUCCAAGGCUAAAUACUCCUGACUGACCGAUAGUGAACCAGUACCGUGAGGGAAAGGCGAAAAGAACCCCGGCGAGGGGAGUGAAAUAGAGCCUAAAACCGUGUACGUACAAGCAGUAGGAGCACCCGAAAGGGUGUGACUGCGUACCUUUUGUAUAAUGGGUCAGCGACUUAUAUUCUGUAGCAAGGUUAACCGCAUAGGGGAGCCGUAGGGAAACCGAGUCUUAACUGGGCGUUAAGUUGCAGGGUAUAGACCCGAAACCCGGUGAUCUAGCCAUGAGCAGGUUGAAG
rnacentral:rRNA from 1 species